rnacentral:pre_miRNA from 1 species
CCAUAACUUCUAUUUUUGUGUCGUUAUGGUCCUAAAUGGGUAAGUCAUAUUUCACCAUUUCAAGACCAAAAUUGCACAAACAUAGAACUUAUGGG